rnacentral:rRNA from 1 species
UACGGAGGGUGCAAGCGUUGUCCGGAAUCACUGGGCGUAAAGGGCGCGUAGGCGGCUCAUGAAGGCUGUGGUGAAAGUCCGGGGCUCAACCUCGGAUCGGCCGUGGCGACUCGUGGGCUGGAGCACUGUAGAGGCGGGUGGAAUUCCGGGUGUAGCGGUGAAAUGCGUAGAGAUGUGGGGGAACACCAGUGGCGAAGGCGGCUCUUUGGUCUGUAACUGACGCUGAGGCGCGAAAGCGUGGGGAGCGAACAGG